GAUGAACGCUAGCUACAGGCUUAACACAUGCAAGUCGAGGGGCAGCAUUUCAGUUUGCUUGCAAACUGGAGAUGGCGACCGGCGCACGGGUGAGUAACACGUAUCCAACCUGCCGAUAACUCGGGGGAUAGCCUUUCGAAAGAAAGAUUAAUACCCGAUGGUAUAAUUAGACCGCAUGGUCUUGUUAUUAAAGAAUUUCGGUUAUCUAUGGGGAUGCGUUCCAUUAGGCAGUUGGUGAGGUAACGGCUCACCAAACCUUCGAUGGAUAGGGGUUCUGAGAGGAGGGUUCCCCCACAUUGGGAACUGGAGACACGGUCCAAACUCCUACGGGAGCAGCAGUGAGGAAUAUUGGUCAAUGGGCGCGAGGCCUGAACCAGACCAAGGUAGCGUGAAGGAUGACUG
rnacentral:rRNA from 1 species